AGGUGCUGCCAUCUAUGUCUGAGGUCGCGGGAGUUCAUUUUCGAAACAAAUUUAAGGUAAACCGUAUAUGGGAAUUUCAGUUCAUAAAAUCAAUAUGGUUCUCGAUAUGGACACUAGAGGGACUGUCAAAAUCAUUAUACAAUACAAAUGAAUUACCAAUACUUAUAAAAUAUAGACUUCUUGCUAGCAUGAUUGAACUAAUUCUUUCUUUCUGGCUCAAGACUUCAAGAAAGUUAGAAGUGCGCGGCGCGUGUUAAAAGUCGAGUUAUAGUUAUUCCUUAAAAGCUAAUUGUUAAAAAGCUUAAAAUAAAGUGUUAGUAGUGCAGUUAGUAAAUUAUUAAAGGGUGCUGUGUGGCUAAUAAAAGCGGUUCGCAUUCCAAGGGAAUUGCG